GAUGAACGCUGGCGGCGUGCCUAAUACAUGCAAGUCGAGCGAACGGACGAGAAGCUUGCUUCUCUGAUGUUAGCGGCGGACGGGUGAGUAACACGUGGAUAACCUACCUAUCAGACUGGGAUAACUUCGGGACACCGUCGCUAAUCCCGGAUAAUAUUUUGAACCGCAUGGUUCAAUAGUGAAAGACGGCCUUGCUGUCACUUAUAGAUGGAUCCGCGCUGCAUUAGCUAGUUGGUAAGGUACCGGCUUACCAAGGCAACGAUGCAUAGCCGACCUGAGAGGCUGAUAGGCCACACUGGAGCUGGGACACGGUCCAGGCUCCUACGAGAGGGAGCAGUAGGGAAUCUUCGGCAGUGGUCGAAAGCCUGACGGAGCAACGCCACGUGAGUGAUGAAGGUCUUCGGAUCGUAAAGCUCUGUUAUUAGUGAAAAACAGAUGUGUAAGUAACUGUGCACAUCUUGACGGUACCUAAUCAGAAAGCCACGGCUAACUACGUG
rnacentral:rRNA from 1 species